GCAGACAGCACACUGAGGGGGCGGGGUUAGGUCGCCGCCCACAUGUGACGCACAGAGAGGUAUAUAAAGCCAGACCCUCGUGCUAGGCGCUCUCUCUGGCGGCGGCUGUGACUUGUCUAUGGUGCUGUGUUGCGGAAGAAUCGGUCUGAUGCCAGGGGUCCAGCUGGCGCGCUGCAAGGUGCGCAUGUCUGGCUUGCUCAUCUGUGACCUGGAUCUCCUCUGUGAGGACAAUGUGCCCUGAUACCGGUGACUUUGUACAUAAGAUGGUGUGUAACAGUGCUCUGAAGAUACCAUGAAUGUAAACUUGUUUUGGACGCUGUUUGGAAGAGCAACAAUCUCCAUGAAGAUGCAGGCUCAAGGUGAAGUCUGACAAGAUGCUGUGAACUUGCACCUCUGUUUUGGGCACCGUUGUGAAGUGUAACCAUCUCUAUGAAGAUGCAGGUUCUGGAGAGGCCGGAGCUACCUGCUCUUAUGAGGGGAAAAGCCUCCAGUCAUAACAGGCUUAAGGAGAAGUCCACCAAGUUGCGGUAAAGGGUGACACAACAGCUGUAGGCAGAAGCAAAGAUUUGUGCAAAAUGGAACAGCCUUAAAUGUAUCUUGUUUCUGCAUAUACAAUAAACUGUUCUGGAGUCUGAA